GCAAGUCGAACGAUAUUUUGGUUCUUGCACCACUUGACAGUGGCGCACGGGUGAGUAACGCGUGGGAAAUUACCUUAGAGUGGGGGAUAACAGUUGGAAACGACUGCUAAUACCGCAUACGCCCUUCGGGGGAAAGAUUUAUUGCUCUAAGAUAUGCCCGCGUUAGAUUAGCUAGUUGGUGAGGUAAUGGCUCACCAAGGCGACGAUCUAUAGCUGGUUUGAGAGGAUGAUC
rnacentral:rRNA from 1 species